GGGUACGGGGGGCAAGCGUUGUUCGGAAUUACUGGGCGUAAAGGGCGCGUAGGCGGUCGUGACAAGUCACUUGUGAAAUCUCCGGGCUUAACUCGGAACGGUCAAGUGAUACUGUCGGACUAGAGUACAGAAGGGGCAACUGGAAUUCUCGGUGUAGCGGUGAAAUGCGUAGAUAUCGAGAGGAACACCUGCGGCGAAGGCGGGUUGCUGGGCUGAUACUGACGCUGAGGCGCGAAAGCCAGGGGAGCGAACGGG
rnacentral:rRNA from 1 species